rnacentral:rRNA from 1 species
AUUGAACGCUGGCGGCAUGCUUUACACAUGCAAGUCGAACGGCCGCGCGGGCUUCGGCCUGGCGGCGAGUGGCGAACGGGUGAGUAAUACAUCGGAACGUGACCUGUCGUGGGGGAUAGCUCGGCGAAAGCCGGAUUAAUACCGCAUACGACCUGAGGGUGAAAGCGGGGGAUCUUCGGACCUCGCGCUAUUGGAGCGGCCGAUGGCAGAUUAGCUAGUUGGUGGGGUAAAGGCCUACCAAGGCGACGAUCUGUAGCUGGUCUGAGAGGACGACCAGCCACACUGGGACUGAGACACGGCCCAGACUCCUACGGGAGGCAGCAGUGGGGAAUUUUGGACAAUGGGCGAAAGCCUGAUCCAGCAAUGCCGCGUGUGUGAUGAAGGCCUUCGGGUUGUAAAGCACUUUUGGCGGGAACGAAAAGGACUGUGCCAAUUCCACGGUUCGAUGACGGUACCCGCAGAAUAAGCACCGGCUAACUACGUG